GACGAACGCUGGCGGCGUGCCUAAUACAUGCAAGUCGAACGCACUGACGUCGACCGAAGCUGCUUGCAGUGGACGUUGAUUGACGUGAGUGGCGGACGGGUGAGUAACACGUGGGUAACCUACCCUUAAGUGGGGGAUAACAUUUGGAAACAGAUGCUAAUACCGCAUAACCAUUCAGACCGCAUGGUCUGAAUGUAAAAGACGGCCUUUGGCUGUCACUUUUGGACGGACCCGCGGCGUAUUAGUUAGUUGGUAAGGUAACGGCUUACCAAGACAAUGAUACGUAGCCGACCUGAGAGGGUAAUCGGCCACAUUGGGACUGAGACACGGCCCAAACUCCUACGGGAGGCAGCAGUAGGGAAUCUUCCACAAUGGACGAAAGUCUGAUGGAGCAACGCCGCGUGAGUGAAGAAGGUUUUAGGAUCGUAAAACUCUGUUGUUGGAGAAGAACAGGGACUAGAGUAACUGUUAGUCCUUUGACGGUAUCCAACCAGAAAGCCACGGCUAACUACGUGCCAGCAGCCGCGGUAAUACGUAGGUGGCAAGCGUUGUCCGGAUUUAUUGGGCGUAAAGCGAGCGCAGGCGGUUUUUUAAGUCUGAUGUGAAAGCCUUCGGCCUAACCGAAGAAGUGCAUUAGAAACUGGGAAACUUGAGUGCAGAAGAGGACAGUGGAACUCCAUGUGUAGCGGUGAAAUGCGUAGAUAUAUGGAAGAACACCAGUGGCGAAGGCGGCUGUCUGGUCUGUAACUGACGCUGAGGCUCGAAAGUAUGGGGAGCGAACAGGAUUAGAUACCCUGGUAGUCCAUACCGUAAACGAUGAAUGCUAAGUGUUGGAGGGUUUCCGCCCUUCAGUGCUGCAGCUAACGCAUUAAGCAUUCCGCCUGGGGAGUACGACCGCAAGGUUGAAACUCAAAGGAAUUGACGGGGGCCCGCACAAGCGGUGGAGCAUGUGGUUUAAUUCGAAGCAACGCGAAGAACCUUACCAGGUCUUGACAUCCUUUGACCACUGUAGAGAUACAGCUUUCCCUUCGGGGACAAAGUGACAGGUGGUGCAUGGUUGUCGUCAGCUCGUGUCGUGAGAUGUUGGGUUAAGUCCCGCAACGAGCGCAACCCUUAUGACUAGUUGCCAGCAUUUAGUUGGGCACUCUAGUAAGACUGCCGGUGACAAACCGGAGGAAGGUGGGGAUGACGUCAAAUCAGCAUGCCCCUUAUGACCUGGGCUACACACGUGCUACAAUGGUCGGUACAACGAGUUGCGAACCCGCGAGGGUAAGCUAAUCUCUUAAAGCCGAUCUCAGUUCGGAUUGUAGGCUGCAACUCGCCUACAUGAAGCCGGAAUCGCUAGUAAUCGCGGAUCAGCACGCCGCGGUGAAUACGUUCCCGGGCCUUGUACACACCGCCCGUCACACCAUGAGAGUUUGUAACACCCGAAGUCGGUGGGGUAACCCUUUUAGGGAACUAGCCGCCUAAGGUGGGACAGAUGAUUGGGGUG
rnacentral:rRNA from 1 species